rfam:Apaloderma vittatum contig57686, whole genome shotgun sequence.
GGCCGGUUAGCUCAGUCAGUUGAGCGUGGCAUUAACAACGCCAAGGACACGGGUUCGAUUCCCGUUCGGUCC